GUGAGUUUCCCUCUCAAAGACAUCCUGCGAUCUGCUACUGCUGCGAGAGCACCGCACCUGAUCAUCGUCGUCAAGAUGGCAUCCAGUUCUCUUUUCAUUGUGGUCCUCUGUCUUGGACUCUGCUAUGGAACAAGUGUGUUGCCGGAAUCAGGAAGCCACUGCAAAGUUUGCCUUGAUGGUUGGACCACACUUGGAGACAAAUGUUACCAGUUCUUCUUCAGUGAGAAGACCUGGGCUGAAGC